CCCACUCCCUUGGUGCUUAGAGCCGCAGCCGUCACUCCGCUAGGGUUCAGUCUUGAAGCUCCGUCACAUUUGUUCGAGCCAGUUAGUUCCAUUUCGCUACGUUGCCUUGGGAGCUGUUGCGUUUCAUGUUCGCACUAGGAACCCAAUUGUUGGCCUUUUUCCAGAUGCGAGGAACACCCGUAGGCAACAAGGGGGUGGAGAUUCCGCUGCCUAAUCCGCGUGGACCAGUUUAUAUUUCUGUAUGAGUUUAUUUAGGGGUGCGACCCGUGUAUCUGUUCGUCCUUAGAUUUAUGUACUUGGUAAAUUUUUUUUCCCUCUAGUUUCUUUUGGACAUCGUGGUGUGCCAUGGAUCAUAUGG